GCCCGGAUGGCGUAACUGGCAGCCGCUGACCACUUAAAAUGGUUUGCCGAAAGGCGUGUGGGUUCGAAUCCCACUCCGGGCA
rnacentral:tRNA from 1 species